AUUGAACGCUGGCGGCAGGCCUAACACAUGCAAGUCGAGCGGAUGAAGGGAGCUUGCUCCUGGAUUCAGCGGCGGACGGGUGAGUAAUGCCUAGGAAUCUGCCUGUUAGCGGGGGAUAACGUCCGGAAACGGGCGCUAAUACCGCAUACGUCCUGAGGGAGAAAGUGGGGGAUCUUCGGACCUCACGCUAUCAGAUGAGCCUAGGUCGGAUUAGCUAGUUGGUGGGGUAAAGGCCUACCAAGGCGACGAUCCGUAACUGGUCUGAGAGGAUGAUCAGUCACACUGGAACUGAGACACGGUCCAGACUCCUACGGGAGGCAGCAGUGGGGAAUAUUGGACAAUGGGCGAAAGCCUGAUCCAGCCAUGCCGCGUGUGUGAAGAAGGUCUUCGGAUUGUAAAGCACUUUAAGUUGGGAGGAAGGGCAGUAAGUUAAUACCUUGCUGUUUUGACGUUACCAACAGAAUAAGCACCGGCUAACUUCGUG
rnacentral:rRNA from 1 species